UCCUGGUGUCCCUAUCACAGCCUGGUCAUCCUGGAGAACCAGGAGAGGCUGAGAUGGGUACCUCUUCAGUGUUACUCUGAAGUCUGGAACAUGAAGCCCCUUCAGAAAGGACCAACAGUGUCUCCUACACAUGAAUAGCUUGAAAACCUGACCAAUCUCACCAGAUACCUCUGCUACCACAGAAAAAAGCUACCACCUAGAGCAGAGAUUCUACCGGGGCAGCCAGGCAGAGCAGGCUGGACCCUUCCCCUGAGUUACCAGUACUUAUGUCCAGCUGUAUAACCUGAAAACAGCCAUCAGCACAUGAACAAAACUGGGUGUUCACAACUGAAAGAGGAGCUUGCACCAGCUUUGGAUAGCAAUAGUCUUUAGGCUUUGCAGCUUGGGAUGCUAAGAAGGGGCUGCAGCAUAUUGCCUUGUAAUAACAUGAAGCAAAAACUCAGCACAAAGUCUGUGAACCAGAUAAGAUUGAUUAAACAAUUUCUAACCAACGGGGUUGCACAUAAAAAUUUUAUUAAAACCUCAAGUGCUAAUUUUAUUUCCUGGGUCUGUCACUGCUAUUUUUUUCUUUUUUUUUUUUUAUUCAGUAGUGAUAAUUACUACAUUAGAAAUUAAAUGAACCUCAUAUACUACAUCUUUCAGACCUCCUAGGAGAGUUGUGAAAGUGAUUUAGAGAAGUGAAUUUGCUAUUGUGCCUAAUCAAGUUACAGUAAUUGUCACCUAUAAUUUUAGCUUGACUGCUACGUGUUUAAUUGGGAGCUUUGCCUUUGAAUUUUUGUAACUGAGCUUCCCUGUGACUGUUCUCCUACUUCCCAUCCCUUCCCAAACCCACUGACAGAAAACAAAUCACUGCAUACAGCUGUGCCAUUAACAGCACUGCCGUUUGCUGCUACAUUGGUUUCUUCAUCAACCUGAGGUGCUGCAACAUCAGGUGAUUUUCCUUGCGAGACCAGCACCAGGUUGUCUCCCUCUAGGUCAUUAUCACAGCUGUGUAGGUAUCAGUGGCAAUAAAGGGGCUUUCUGGCCUACAGGAAUCCUUAGUAGGGCUGUAAGUAUUGCAGUACUCUGGGGAUUGCAAAGAGUUCUUCAGGCUGAAAGACUGAAGGGGAGAGAUACUUUCCUUCCUGUUGCAGCUCCAGGGAUUGUCUCUUCUGUAUUCAACUUCUUUAAAACACACACAGAACAGUUACUGAAGGGAGAAAGAGCUAAGAAACUCAGCAGCUCUAAGCAAUAACUUCAGAAUGGCCCACUGGAUGAUACCCAAGCCUUCUGUGUUAGGCUCCUAGUAAUGACAGACUGCUCUUGGGAAACUUUAUGUCGAUGAUGAAUGAAUGGGUAUUUUCCUCUGAAGUGGCUGCUCCAGAAUACAUCACUCUCACAUCAUCUAAACAAUGCUGGUCAUCCACAUUUCCAGUAGCUGCUGGGACUCCUGAAAAGGGUAGAGCUUGUCAUUCAGAGAUAAGGAGGGAUUAGCUCUGCGAUCUCAGUCAGCCUUAAGAGGAAGGUUAAAAACUUUGGGAGAAGGAAGUAUGUGUGUGCAUGCACAUGUGUCUUCCAAAACAACAGAUGGUUUCAAUAAAGUUGCUCCUGCUGCUAGGAAGUGGCACUUCUUGACAUUAGCAGAGCCAUAUCUCAUCAGGGUUCUUGUUUCUACCAGCCUGUCUCGGCAAAGUUAAAUCCACUGUACUGUAUGUGGUAAUCAGAAAAGGCACUCUGAUAUCUGCCCCAUUAAUUGCCCCCUGCCGGCUUUCCUUCUCUCUUGAUGUAAGGCCCACUGUGCUCAGUAUGGAGGGAUCUAUCAGAUUUGAAGGGCAACCUUAGCUAAUGAUCUGCAAUUCCCCCUACUUAAACUGCAGCAAGAGCUGUCCUUUUAAGGAUCCUGCAAGAAAUGCAUUAUUUCUGGGAACCGCUAAACAAAAACCUCUCCACUUCAAUCGAUACAUCAAUGUAUUAAAUUAUUGUGCAACUAAAUUAAUGUGCCCCUUGGUGACAGGAUUGCAGAAAAUGAGCAGUGUUUUAUGCAUUAAAGCCAAACUGGUAAAAGAUUGUUUUCAAGGUUAGAUUGUGCCAUAGUGAAUAUCAAGAUUUUUCCUAUUAAAGUAUGAUGGGGUUUCAGA